rnacentral:misc_RNA from 1 species
GGAAGGAUCAUUAACACUUUAUCCACUAUAAACCAAAGUUGAACUGUCGUUGUGUUGAUAGUAGGGACGAAAGGCUAUGUGGUGAGGAAACCCAGAGUUGCAAGAUUUAAAGCUUUGGCUUCACUUCUUGUGGUCUGGAUUCUCGUCUUCGUUCCACAACACUUCGGUGUCAUGCUUCACACAGCGAUCACCACGGUUAUUUAACCACUAUGAAUUUUUGUACUAAACUUCUUAUUGAGAAUGCUUUGUUGCCGAAAGGCCGAACUUCUCCCUAAGUAUUUUACGAAACACUGAACAACUCUUAGCAACGGAUAUCUUGGUUUCCGCACCGAUGAAGAACGCAGCGAAAUGCGAUACGUAAUGCGAAUUGCAGAAUUCAGUGAAUCAUCAAAUUUUUGAACGCAACUGGCGCUUUUGGGUUAGUCCUGAAAGCACGUUUCUCUGAGUAUCGGUUCUACCUCAACUCGACUGCGUUCGUUCGAAAGAACGUUCGUACUCGGAUAAUGAAUGUCAUGAAGACCUGAAACUUUUCAUGUCAUUUGAAGAACAGAGCGUGUUCACCCUCUAUUUGUCGAAUUACUGAGUACUUUGUAUUCGGUGACUGUGCACAUCAGUGAAUGGUCUGCCUGACAUCUGGGUGACGUGGGAUAAUUUCACCUUUGUGUGAAUAAAAACUUUCUCCGUCACUUCAACCAGUGUUAGGAUUUUAUGAGUUUCAAAAGCUGUGUGCAUGGAAAAGGCUUACAGUUGGAUGAACAUUGUUAAAAUCAUUAGUGACCAGAGCAUUCUUUGCGGGGUGUUUUGGGAGCUAUGGUACACAUUAACUUUAAGAAUUAGAUCUCAGAUGAAGCGAGAGGACCCGCUAAAUUUAAGCAUAUUAUUAAGCGGAGGAAAAGAAACUAACAAGGAUUCCCCUAGUAACGGCGAGUGAAGCGGGAGGAGCUCAAAUUGUAAAUCGGGAACCCUAAUAGGUUUCCGAAUUGUAGUCUAGAGACAUGAUGCCAGCGAUCGACCGAGGUAUAAAUUUUUUUGGAACAAGGUAUCAUAGAGGGUGAGAAUCCCGUCUGUGACCUCGAGUUCGUCGCGUACGGCACGUGUUCAUUGAGUCGAAUAGCUUGGGAUUGCUGUUCUAAAUUGGUGGUAAAUUUCAUCAAAAGCUAAAUAUUGGCGGAAGACCGAUAGCGAACAAGUACCGUGAGGGAAAGAUGAAAAGAACUUUGAAAAGAGAGUUAAAAAGUACUUGAAAUUGUUAAGAGGGAAGCACUGGAAACCAGUAGCUGCCGAGUGUCUAUAUUUACUAUCCGACAGCGAAGGAUUUAGGCAAGGAGAGGGCAUACCCUCUUUGUUUAUUUCGGACGUUGAUGGGUGGGUCCUGUAGCGCUUGGCGAGUCAGAAUCAAGUAGAUUCGCAGGAGAAAAUCGGUGAUAAGGUCACCCCUACUUCGGGAAGGGUAGAGAUUGCCGACUAUACUGUGGAUUUGCUUGAGGUACUGAGAACAGGCGCCGUUCGCGGCUCGUUUCACCGGUUCCUAGUGCGUGGUUCGUCUUGGAUAUCAAAGAUAUGCGGAUGGAGAAGCGUACUACUGGAUCGGAUGAAUUCAGAUGUCUGUUAGCGAUUCUGACGAAAUGGUUUUCAUUGACCCGUCUUGAAACACGGACCAAGGAGUCUAACAUAUAUGCGAGUAUUUGGGUGGUAAACCCUGAUGCGUAAUGAAAGUAAAGGCAGCUUUUUGGUUGCUAAGGUAGGAAUUUGAGCUUCGGCUUGAAGGCACUAUCGACCGAUCAUUCACUUGUGAAAGAUUUGAGUAAGAGCAUAUCUGUUGGGACCCGAAAGAUGGUGAUCUAUGCCUGAACAGGGUGAAGCCAGGGGAAACUCUGGUGGAGGCUCGUAGCGAUACUGACGUGCAAAUCGUUCGUCUGAUUUGGGUAUAGGGGCGAAAGACUAAUCGAACUAUCUAGUUGCUGGUUCCCGC